CCAAAUCCUUUGGAAUUAGAACUGGGCACAGGUGAAAAGAAUUAACUGCUACAUUUGUACCCAAUGGUGGGAUACUCCAUGAGAUGGUCCAGGCUGGGGACUGUUCCCAGAUGAGAGCCUUGGAAUUGUCUGAAGGGAAGGAGGAGGGAUCCUGUCAGCACAAGGAUCAACUGACAGACAUGUAAAUGUUACCAGAAAAUUACUCAGGAGUGUUUAGUUCCCAAGCGAGGUCAAUCCAAGGCUUGGAAAUCUGCCUGCUAAAGCUGGCUAAAACUGGUCCCUGCUGCUGACUUAUUAAAACAACUGAUUAAAAAGGAGGUAGGAUUGAUUCAAUACUCACAAACCCAUCUUGCCAAGAUCAGAGUUCUGUGCCCACCAAGGGAGCUGCAGCCACUCAGGGAACACCAGGGAACUUUAGUCCUGGGCUGGGAACAAGAGAGGGACAAAGAAUUUUUUUAAGUAAUUCCAACCUCAGCGGUGUCCAGACCUGGGAGAAAGCACUUCCCACACCACUCUUGGAAUUUUCUUCCCUGUCCCUUCCAGCUUUGGAAGGUUUCUGUGGGAGCCUGACUUACUUCAGAAACUGCACCAUCCCUAAAGCAUUCCCUUGGGAAAAUGAAGCUUCCCUUGUGCACUUCAUUUCUUUAUCCCAAAUAUUUUCCCUAAUUAUCCACAAUGUAGAAAGAAAAAAAUCCCCUACUUUUUCACCACUGAUUCCCUCCUUUUUACUUAAAAGUAUUUAUGGAGCUUUUCUCAAGAUUUACCCCCACAACUUUCCCUACAUGCCCACUACUCAUCACCUCAUCUUUCCCUGGAAAUGUUCAUUGUCUACUCUUGGAGUCAGGUUUUGCCUCCAAAUUUUUCCCUACCUGUCCACUACAGAGUUCCUCAUUUUUCUCCCAAAAUAUUCGUUCUGUCCCCUACAGAUACAUGCACAGCUCCAUUCUCCUGGGUCUUGUCACUAGUCAGCAGAGAGGAAAGAUCAGCGUCUGCCCCCCUCUUCCCUUGUGCUUUAUAUACAUUUGAUUUGCCAGGUCUUCAAGAAUUUCAAGAAUACUUUUUUUUUAAAUCUGAAAAUGCAGUUCCAGUAUCAGAUGCUGUUUUCAGUAUCAUUGAAGAGAUGAUAAACCCCUCAUGAAACACAAAGCCAGGAGCAAAGCCCACCAGACCAACCUAACUGGCUUCUCUCCCACCACCUACCUCCAGAUCCAGCUUGGGAUUCUCCACACAGCACUCUCAGGAUGGUGUCAACAUUGCCUAGACGCAUAAUCUGGCAAGUGUUUUAAUGUAAGUAGCUUUUAUUCUGGACUGGCUCUGUUUAGAGUUAUCCUUAUGUUUAAAUAAAUAUUUACACUUGGAGUGUACAUGGUAAAAUUAAACUCCACAAUUAAAUUGCUGCAUUAGUUGGUGGUUAAGUGGAAACUCGUGGCAGGACAGUAAUUCUGCACUGAAAGCAAGAAAAGAGACAAAGUAAGAAAAAAGGUGGAGCCACAGGCAAAAAAAAAAGAUCACUUUUUAGCAAAUGUUUACAGCAUCUUAACUAUAUUGAGAUAUUAGUAAAAUUAUAGAAAACUUAAAUAUAAGUAAUUUAUUAAAACUUAAAUAGAAGUCAUCUGCACCUCAACUUCAAACCUACUUUGAUUUUUAACGCAACAAUUUUAGCUGAAAUAUUUCUCCAAGAAAUACACAGGAUCAUUAACAUUAGGAAAAUAUUAGUAACAUUUCCUUAAGAAUGUAUAAACACUAACGAAUUGCUGAGUUCUUUCUGCAUCAUAGACAUCAUUUGGGAGUUCAAGGGCCUUUUGCUGAAAUUCCAGGACAUAUAUUAAUGGUGAGCUGAGCAGAGCUUCUCCUAUGGAAAUAGGAAACUUGGCUGCAGAGCAAAGCCAGGAUAAACAUGUGGAUUCAGCCAUCGUUUAGCUUAAGCAAAGCCACACAAAAAUAGCUGCAAACUUUACUGAGCAGAUGUGCCUCCCCUUCUGUCAACUUGGGAUACUGCUUCCAGAUUUUUAACUUUGCCUAUUGGUUCUCAUUGUUACAGCCAUUCUUGUCCUUGCUGGGCAUUAUUAGCGAUGAAUUUACUUUCCCAAAGCCCACAGACUGAAACAAAAACAUCUUCUAGUCUUGCCUGUUGGAAGUGUCACCCUGUGGAGGAAUAAGGGAAAGGUUCCUGGGGCUAGAAGAGACUGAGGAAGGCAGCACACUCCUGGCACAAGAAGGAAUGAGGCACUCCACAGAAUAGAAACUGAUCACUGAUGAUGGCUUUUUCCAAACUGAUGGCAUCUCUAUGUACAUGUGAAUUGUGAGGAAAAUUCAGAUUAACAGUGGGUUGGGAUUUGAGUUGCCCAGCUGGGAUUGCUCAAGCCUUUCUGUGGGAAAGGAUUAGUUUAGUACUCUCCCUUGGCUUGUGUUUUCAGUGUUUAAUGGAGUGGGGUGCUGCCUCUGGCCACAAUUCCAUGAGAAUUGAGGGUCUGACCCUCUCACUCUUGAGAAAUAUAUCUGCUCUCCAACCACUUGCAGAGACAAACUCAACAAGACUGACACUUUAGUGUCUGAGUGUGGUCCUGCUCCCAGCCUUACUGAGUGGUGUAGCAGUGGUAACUCAGUGUCUUACCUCAUCUGCCUUCUGAAAUGAGGAUUCCAAUGGGUUUCUACUCAGUCUUUAUAAUGAGAAACCUGGACUUAAUCUGCAAAAUCUCAUUAACUGGGCUGAUUUGUCAGUGCUGGGGCAGAAUGACAUCAUUUAAGUGAGUGUAAUGCUGAGAAUAGGAAUUAGGCCAUCA